UGAGGGGACAGUGCUAUGCACUGAGCCACCAUGUCGCCCUUGUUUCAUUUGUACAUUUAAUUUUUUUCUAUGAUUUAGAGGACUCUUUGUUAGUUUGCUUCGCAUUAAAUUAUUGUUAAAAUUGUCACCAAAAUAAUGAUGAUUAUGAUUUUUUCUUAAUCCAGCGGUUCUCCUUGAAGGUUGGAAACUCUACUUUGUCCUGUGGACAGUUGUCUUUGGACAGUCCAACAUUCACCGCAUUCACCUCAUUCCAGGUGGCCAAUGAUCUCCAAGUGAACAUUAAGAAAAAGGCAGAUGAGUUGAAUCUGAGAAUAAGUGAGGUGAAUGUGGAAGUUCUACAUGGAGAUCUCAAGUAUCACUGUAUUGUAGAGAGAAUUGAGUCCCGUUCUGUUAUCUGCACGAUUAAAGGAGAAUCGGGAACAGUCCCAGGAGUGGAUUCACUCCAGAUCACAGUUGGGAAUUAUGAAACUUCUCUCAGAGGACAGGGCCCAGCGUAUUUGGUGCUUUUUUCUAUAGCAUUUCCUUUCAUAUUCUCGUUGUUUAUUCUUAUCUUUUGUAUAUUGUUGUUCAUUUUCCGAAAUUAACACAGUAUCUUAAUUGUUUAAACUAUUCGGUAAACACAAACAUCACGAAGUAAUACAUUGAAUUAUGCUGUAAAGUCCUGCUAAACAUCAUCUCUCAGACUCUCACCACCUACACAGUGGAGCUGUUCUCCAGACAGCAGGUGACGCUUUAUACUCAUUUAUAAUGAUUCACUGUAAAAACAAAGCUCUUCCAGAAGUCUGUUAUUUAGUAGUGUAAUACAAUUCCUUUGUAGACUUUAUUGUAACUUUUCAUUUUUUUAACCUUGCUAAUCUUACUUUUUACUCUAACUGUGUUAUC